GAAGCAGUAUAAAUUCCUCUCCAAUUUCCCUAAAUUGAAUUUUCCCUCUUCUUUCCGCCCCUUGAUUUUCAUUUCCUUUUCCCUCCUCUUCUUCUUCAUUUUCCUUUAAUGGCACUCUAACGGAAAAAGAGAGAAGCAGAAAAGAGGUAGAAAAUGAUAGGAGGGAAUAACAGUUUUGGGAAGACAAUUUGCUCAAUUUGUUAUGAAGAUCUAAACCCUAUUAUUGAAGACCUCCAAUCCAUUUCUAUUUGCGGUCACGUUUUUCACGAGAUUUGUCUUCAGCAAUGGUUUGAAUACUGUACAAAUGGAAAAAAGAAGAAUUGUCCAGUUUGCAAACAGGCUUGUUCAGAACAAAAUGCAAAUAGGCUUUAUUUCCAAUCAGUUGGUGAUCCAAAUGAUACAAGUCUGACCAAGAAACCUUGUGGUCAUGAAGAGGAUCCACGUGAACUGAGAAAUGAGGUCAAAAGAUUGGAGGGGAAAGUUUUACAGUUGACUUCUACUUUGGAAAAACAGCUGAAAGAUCUCAAAGAAGUUAAUGCAGAGCUUUUCACAUGCAAGGAAGAGUUGAAAAUAGAAGGGACUCUAAAGAAUGAAGCUGUGAAACAGGAGGCAGCCAUUCAGCAGUUGUUACAUCUUAAAUCCAAGGAGCUAGAUCGAUCAACUUUGGAGUGCAUAAGGCUAAAAGAUGGAAAUAUGGCUCUAGAUAAGGAGCUUGCAGCACUCAAGUUGAGUUACAAAGAACUAAUGACCAAGUGCGAUACUCAUGGAAGGCGAGAGGCUCGUUCUCUUAGGAAACUUGAGAAGUCUAAAGAAAAGAUAAAUAAGUUGAAGACCAGGGUCCAAGAACUUGAGACGGCACUUGAAGGAAGAGAAAAAGAUAAUGAAAAUUUGAGAACUUUGAGAGCUGCCAAGAAAAACUUUGAGUUGUAUCAAGGAAGCAAAGAACCCAAAGUUGACCGACGUUCAUAUGAGAAUCAGCAAAAGGCACCUGCUGCGACAGAAGUAGAUUUAUGCAUAGUCACUGGCUCAUGCGAUGAUUUAUCUAGACCAAGGAGAAAAAGAAAGUAUAAGUCUAAGGAAAAGAGUAUACAAACCAUGGCAGAAGAUAUUAUAACUGGUGGAAGUCAAGUGCAGGGAUCAGAAAAUAAGGAUGGAAUCUCAGGUUCAAGGAAUUCCCCUGUUAUUAUUCUUGACGAUGAUACUGAUCUUCCGCUUCUAGAUGACGUUACACAGCAUCAGCCCUCAUUUCGCAUCAGGAAAGAGACUUCUGCACCAGUUAUAGUUGCCCAACCAGGAGAUACCUGCUUUUCUGGUGGAUUAUUAGGUCCUGAUGGGACUUACUGGCACUUGGGAAAAUGGUGCAAGAAGGUUAAGGACAAGGGAUCUGGAUCACUGUCUUGACGAUUGCUAGGAUCAGGUCCGAGUGCUGUUGAUUGAUUGCUGUAGGAGCUGAUGGUAGAAGUCGUUGGAUCAAAGUUCUGCGAGCAAUGAAUCCGGCAUCAUUGCAGGACAAAAAUGAGAGUUUGCGAUCAAUCAAGAGAUACUAGUAUGACAUGAAAUCAAGUAGUUCGCAAUCUCAAGGAUGCUUGCAAAUAGGUGAUAGCUAUAUUGAAGGAGUAAGUUCCCAUCAAAGAUAUAGAGAGUUCAUUUCUUAUACAGUAUUUAGGGGUUUAAUUUUAGCAAUCUAGUUAUACUACCAUUUGAUUAAAUAGUUUGAAAUAAGAAACUCAAUGUCUUCUUUUGAGCAUGUAAAGAUUCAAAAGGGAAAGGUAGCAGGCAGGGGAGAGGAAAGCAAGAAAGCAACUUCAACAAUUGUUUCUUAGAAGUUUUCUGUUUUGUUGCUUGAUCAAUACAUAUUUAAAGUGCACUCUUUGUA